rnacentral:tRNA from 1 species
GCGCCAUUAGCUCAACUGGAUAGAGCAACUUCUUUCUAGGCUGUGGGUUGAGGGUUCGAAUCCUUCAUGGCGCA